AGGGCCAUGUAUGUAAACUAGAAAAACAAAAACAAGUCAAACAUGCUCAAGACAUAGAAACGGUAAAAAAGUUUCUGACGACAAAGAAAAAUGAAAUUAAGAUGGAAUCUAUUAAAAAAGCGAGAGAAAUAAUAUUUGAGGACACCUGCUACGGACGCCAACUUUUGAGUGCUCUGCUGGAAUCAAAGACUCUAGAAGAAAGAGAGCAGCAGGUAUUAUUUCAAAAGAAAAUAAAACAUGAAGCUGAU
rnacentral:misc_RNA from 1 species